UUUCCGUAGGUGAACCUGCGGAAGGAUCAUUGUCGAAACCCUCAAGGCAGAYCGACCCGCGGACAAGUGAAAYCGASGCCCGAAGUCCGCGGAGAGGGCCGCGGGCAACCGCGAGUCCUCUCCCGCGGGCACGAACAACGACCCCCGGCGCGAAUCGCGUCAAGGAAAAYGAAAGAAGAUGUGCGAUCCCCUCGUCCCGGAAACGGSGUCGCGGGGGGGUCGGCGUCGUCGUCGAUACGACGGACAAAACGACUCUCGGCAACGGAUAUMUCGGCUCUCGCAUCGAUGAAGAACGUAGCGAAAUGCGAUACUUGGUGUGAAUUGCAGAAUCCCGUGAACCAUCGAGUUUUUGAACGCAAGUUGCGCCCGAAGCCUUCGGGCCGCAGGGCACGCCUGCCUGGGUGUCACGCAMCGUCGCCGCGAACCCACUCGGCCCCCUUCCGAGGGGAACGUUGGGGGACGGCGGAUAUUGGCCUCCCGUGGGCUCCCGCCCGCGGUUGGUCCAAAAGACGGUCCCCUGGCGACGGCAGCCACGGCAAGCGGUGGUCGGCAGAGCGAGCUCCUCUAACACCGUCGUGGGCGAGCCUCGUCGACGGGGUGCGAACGGCCCCGGCGCAUGCGCCGCUUUAGAAGCGACCCCAGGUCAGGCGGGAACACCCGCUGAGUUUAAG
rnacentral:rRNA from 1 species